ACGAGUGCCUCAAGCGUUAUCCGGAAUUAUUGGGCGUAAAGGUUGUGUAGGUGGUCAUAUUAGUCUUUUGUUAAAUUCUUCGGCUUAACCGGGGGCAUGCAGAGGAAACGGUACAACUAGAGGAUGCGAGGGGUUUCUGGAACUCAUAGUGUAGCGGUGAAAUGCGUUGAUAUUAUGGGGAACACCAAAAGCGAAGGCAAUUCACUGGCGCACUCCUGACGCUGAAACACGAAAGCGUGGGUAGCGAAUGGGAUUAGAUACCCCAGUAGUCCACGCCCUAAACGAUGAUCUCUGGCUUUGAGGAGUCCCGCCCCUCCUCGAGGCGAAGCUAACGCGUUAAGAGAUCCGCCUGGGUAGUACGACCGCAAGGUUAAAACUCAAAGGAAUAGACGGGGACUUGCACAAGCGGAGGAUCAUGUGGUUUAAUUCGAUAACAAACGAAGAACCUUACCAGGGUUAGAAAUCUAGCUGAAGAGUAGAGGAAACUUUAUUCGCCGCAAGGCAGCUAGACAGGUGAUGCAUGGCCGUCGUCAGUUCGUGGUUUGAAUUGUUCCCUUAAGUGGGGUAACGAACGCAACCCUCGUUGCCAGUUUUACAUGUCUGGCGAGACUGCUCCCUCACGGGAGAGGAAGGUGAGGAUGACGCCAGGUCAGCAUGUCCCUAGAUGCCUUGGGCUGCACCCGUGAUACAAUGGGUAGUACAACGAGACGC
rnacentral:rRNA from 1 species